ACGAACGCUGGCGGCGUGCUUAACACCUGCAAGUCGAACGGUGAAGCGCCUUCCUUUUUGGUGGGUGUGGAUGAGUGGCGCACGGGUGAGUAACACGUGAGUAACCUGCCCCCUUCUUCUGGAUAACCGCAUGAAAGUGUGGCUAAUACGGGAUAUUCUGGGUCUGUCGCAUGAUGGGUCUGGGAAAGAUAUUGUUUCGGUGGGGGAUGGGCUCGCGGCCUAUCAGCUUGUUGGUGGGGUGAUGGCCUACCAAGGCGGUGACGGGUAGCCGGCCUGAGAGGGUGGACGGUCACACUGGGACUGAGACACGGCCCAGACUCCUACGGGAGGCAGCAGUGGGGAAUAUUGCACAAUGGGCGCAAGCCUGAUGCAGCGACGCCGCGUGAGGGAUGGAGGCCUUCGGGUUGUGAACCUCUUUCGCCAGUGAAGCAGGCCUGCCUCGUUUGUGGGUGGGUUGACGGUAGCUGGAGAAGAAGCGCCGGCUAACUACGUG
rnacentral:rRNA from 1 species